rnacentral:rRNA from 1 species
UAAUACGUAGGGUCCAAGCGUUGUCCGGAAUUAUUGGGCGUAAAGAGCUCGUAGGUGGUGUGUCGCGUCGGAUGUGAAAGCCCGGGGCUUAACCCCGGGUCUGCAUUCGGUACGGGCAUGCUGGAGUUCGGUAGGGGAGACUGGAAUUCCUGGUGUAGCGGUGAAAUGCGCAGAUAUCAGGAGGAACACCGGUGGCGAAGGCGGGUCUCUGGGCCGAUACUGACACUGAGGAGCGAAAGCGUGGGGAGCGAACAGGAUUAGAUACCCUGGUAGUCCACGCUGUAAACGUUGGGAACUAGGUGUGGGGUGCAUUCCACGUGCUCUGCGCCGCAGCUAACGCAUUAAGUUCCCCGCCUGGGGAGUACGGCCGCAAGGCUA